rnacentral:lncRNA from 1 species
CUUCCAUCUUCUGGUUCUCUCUUGCAUUCUAUGAUGUUUCCAGACACUCUGUGCAAAGAACAGAGGCAAGCCUCCAGCCAGGAGCUCAUGAAAUCAUGAACUGAGGCCUCAGUGCAAUAGCUCAUGAGGAAAUGAAUUAUUUCAACAGCCAGUUAUGCUUCAAGCCAUACUUAAGAUCGAUGAAUCCUCCUUUAUAAACACAGAUGUAGUAAACACUCAGAGAAAACGAGGUUGAAAAACCAAAUGCUGGGGAGGAGCCAAGAUGGCCGAGUAGGAACAGCUCCGGUCUACAGCUCCCAGCGUGAGCGACGCAGAAGACGGGUGAUUUCUGCAUUUCCAUCUGAGGUACCGGGUUCAUCUCACUAGGGAGCGCCAGACAGUGGGCGCAGUUCUGGAAGUUGGAAGUACAAGAUCAGAUUGCCAGCAUCAUCAGGUACUCAUGAGGGCCGUCUUCCAGCUUGCAGACUGCCAACUUCUCAUUGUGUCCUCAGAUUUGAUAUCAAAGUAAUGUCAAGUGCUUCUGACCCACUGCAUUAAACGUGUGCUGAGCAGUUGGUGGUAGAAGACAUUAUUGUGAAGGCUGCUCACCACCAAUUUCAUCACUGUUGCUAACUCCAGCUCAUCUAAUCUCUGCAACAUCUGCUACCAGCACCUUCUCUUGCCUCCUUUUGUGAACAUAGUUUUUUCUUCUGGUUAGAAAAUCAGUUCGAACUUCUUGAGUUUUGUGUUUUAAACUCUUCUCAACUGUUCCGAUGAUUGAUGGAUGGCCCAGAGGCGACCUCUUUAUCUCCAGCAACAUAUUUGGCUGUUGGCCCGGUAGAGAGGUACUCCAGAAGCUUGCUGGUUCAUCAUGCUCUCAUCUUUAACCACAACUAUUUAUCUGACUCCUUCCAUCUCCACAGCACUGUGUGAGGGAUCAGUGAUAAGAGACGGUGAAAGACAUGCGCAAAUGGAUAAAUAAUAAGCAGGAUAUGUAGAAUGACACAACAAUUGAUGAGUAAUUUAGGAGAUCCAAUAACUAAAAAAAAAAAGACUGGGGACAAGUUCAUGGAAAGAGUAAUCAACUAAGCCUUAUAACAUAAAAUUGACAAAUAGAGAAGGCAUGCAAUCCAGUAGAAUAGAGUGCAAAAGAGGUAGAAGACUAAUCGUUUCAAGACAUGUUGAGCCACAACAGCAAUAACAUUGUGACAAAAAACGUCGGUGUAGACUGCAGAAGAUCUUCAAUGACGGAUCAAGCUGUAUAGACUUUUUUUUACCCUCAUAUACUGAAUAGUCAUUUAAGGUAUACAGUGCCAACGUAAGAGAGAAAGGUAAACUUUUUUUAACACAAGUUGUAGGCCUUGGAAAGAAGUUUUCCAGUAACAAGAUAACACGAUAAUGUACUGUGGUUAUAAGCUCAAAGUGGUAUAUUUGAUUCAGUGUUCCCAGAACCACCAAAACCUUGGAACCAUUGUUUAGCUAAAGCUACUAGAACAACAGAAUAACCUACUCUGUGGCAUUGUAAAGUAAAAUUAUACUACACACAAAUACUUGACAUAAAAUACAUUUCCAAACUCAAUUAUUAGGGAUAACAUAAGCACAAAAUGAUGCUUUGCAAACAUCAUGUAUCCUAUAACUGGAGAAAAAAAAUUAAUGACAUGAAGUGAAAUGACUGAGUUCUGAAGCUACAUCUCAAUUUAAAUAGCAUAAGCAAUUUAGUAUACAACAUUCUUCAAAAUCAAUUGUUGAAGGUUAACUAUAAUCUACAUACAAAAACAACUUUGUCAACUUUUUGUACGGAUUUUCCUUCUAAACAUAUUUACUUUAUGUGUAAAAUCAAAAAAUUUCCUGAGUUAAAGGCUAAGACUUGACUUUAUGAAUACAUGCCCAAAAAUUGGUGGUGGCUGGUUUCUGUUUUUAUUUUGUAAGCUUAGUAUAAUGGUUGUCCAGAACUUGUAAGCAAUGACCUCAUUUCUAAGCGGACAAGAUGCAAAAGACCAUUUUUACAGAUUAACCAUCUGGUUCCUUUAGGAAGAGUAAUAUUUCAACAGGUUCCUGUAUUUCAAGAAUAUAAAUAAUUAAAAAGAUGAAGAUAUGUGAAAUACACAAAGAAAAAAAUAGAGAAAAUAGCAUUUAAAGCAAAUUAUCCUAGCUCCCUCAAUUAAUAUUUUAAAACCAUGACAAUCAGUUAUUAAUAUAAAUUGUUAAUUUUAUUUAAUACAACAUCAAUAUAAUUCAUACCAUCUUCUUCAACUAGGUGGUCUAUCAUUUUGGAGUUUCUUUCCACCUCUGGAGAAUUGCUCAGGAAAUCUGGCUAACAUACCAAAUAAAUCAAAUGGAUUUAAUGAGAUGGUUUUUGGCUAGUUUCUAUAUUCUUGUAUACACAUGCAUGUAACACAUAAAUGUGGUGCUGUUCACAGUUAGAGGCGCAAGAGAAAAAAGUAGCUUUCCAGUGUUAUUUCAUUGUUAUUAACUAUACAGUAUUCAGGUGCAAACAAAUGAAAAUCCUGUAUAUUCACGCUAAAAUAUAAUAUGUAUCAAAAUAAGCAUAAAAUAACUGUUUUGGAUAGGUCUUAGGAUGCUGCUGUGGCUUAAUUUGCUCUGUUUAUGUUCUCUCCGCUUUUCUUUAUUGCAUGUGCUAGUUUUGAUGUGUUGUUUGACUAAUAUGUCAUACGGUGAAUUUACUGAGGUCUAUAACAAAAGGCAUGGAUCCAUACACUGGACACAACCUUGAGGGCAUAAGGGAAAAAAAAAAGAAACUAAGUACCAUAGAACAGCCUCAACAAAAUCAGAGCAUGCUUUACACGUGAUUUUCAGUUACACCCUGCUUGUCAUUUGUGAUUACUCAAAACAAUAAUUAAAUUACGUCCUCCAGGAAACAGGAAGGAGUGGAUAACCAAAAUACAUGAAAAGCCCCUACAGUCCCUGUUUGUUCAGAGUAUAGAUCAGCAUUCUUUAGGAGUUCCAUUCUUUUAUUACAGGAAUGAAUAUUGGGUUGAACACGCUUAUAUGCAUUUAGAGGUAAUGUGAUGUAUGAAAACAAGUACUGCAGAGGUUUCCUCUGUAGAACUGUACUUUUAAGAGGAGCAGCCACCAUAAUCUUCUUGUAAAGGUAAACUGGAUCAUGUCAUUUUCAAAUAAAGUCUUCUCUC